rnacentral:pre_miRNA from 1 species
GACCUUCUUCUUCUUCUGCUGCUGCUACUGCUGCUCUUCAAUUAAAAAAAAAAAAAAAAAAUUGAAGAGCAGCAGUAGCAGCAGCAGAAAAAGAAUCGGUC